CAAAAGUAUAAACGCUUAGGCAGAAAUUCGUCUAAUAGUAUUUUAAAAAAAACAAAAUCCAAUUAUUUAACUAAAAUCAAUCAUAAUAGUAAUGGUAUUAUGUGCCCACAAAACAUAACUAAUCAAUACAACAUAAGCAUUAUGAAAAAGUUAAUCGAAAUAAUAAAAAUGAAUAAUAUUAAUCUGAGCAAUCUGAAUAAUGAUGAAAUAAAUAAAACAGAAUUACAAAAAUUAGAUAAUAUAUUAAAAUGUAAGACAAUAGGAAGCGAAAAACGCUUUGCACAUGAAACUAAUGACAAAUAUAAUAUGAAUAAAAUGAAUAAUACAAAUUUACCAUCAAAACAAUACGAAUCUAUAUACAGAUAUUUAAUUCGUAAUCCGUUACAAGUAAACAAACCAGUAGUCAUACUAACAGUAAAUAAAGAUAACAUUGUUCAAAUUAUUAACGUAAUAAAACAGAUGGACGUCUUAAAUAGAAUUAAUGUUCAGACAUUAAAUGACGUGCCUUAUGUAACUGACUCAGGUUUGUCAGACCAUGAUUUAAGUGGCGGAAACAACAGUAGCACGCACAAUAUACCCAGCGGGGAGAAAAAUGGGGCAAAAAAUGGGGCAAAAAAUGGGGCAAAAAAUGGGGCAAAAAAUGGGGCAAAAAAUGGGAGAAAAAAUGGGGAAAAACAUGAGCAGAAUAACGAGCAGAAUAACGAGCAGAAUAACGAGCAGAAUAACGAGCAGAAUAACGAACAGAAUAACGAACAGAAUAACGAGGUAGAGCACUUGAUAGACUAUGGUAUAUAUCACAGAACAAACGACGAUAACGUAUUGGAUAUGCUCCGCCCGAAUGACAAAAAAAACGUAAAAAUAAACAAAAGUAUAAAUAAUUACAAUAUAGAAAACUUGGAUGCAAUAAAUAUAAAUUAUGUUGGUAAUUCCGUUUUAUGUAACGAUCAAGUUGUAUGGACAUAUGCUGAUAUAGUAAUAACAACACCUGAUCUAUUUCUUAAUAGUUAUAAAAAUAAUUCAGCUAAGGUUAAUAGUGGUAGUAGCAGCAGUGGUAAUUGUGAUUUUAUUUUACCAACGGUUGUUAUAUUUGAUGAGGUAGACAUGCUUUUUCAAAAUAAUGCUUAUAGAAAUACAAUUAUGGAUAUUUUUCAUAUAAUAAAAAAAAGACCUGAUAUUUACAACCCCCAUAUUAAUAUAAGCAAUAAAAGUAUUGAAAAUGUAAAUAAAGAGAUUGAAAAUAUUUUACUUUAUCCAAAAAAAAAAACUGAUAUACAACAAAGUGACACAACUAGCCAAGCGGAAAUUGAUUACAACAAAAUUAAUAAAAACAUUGAACAAGUUGAUAAAUAUAAUGAAAUAGUUUUUAAUUGUCCUCC
rnacentral:lncRNA from 1 species